rnacentral:rRNA from 1 species
UACGAAGGGUGCAAGCGUUAAUCGGAAUUACUGGGCGUAAAGCGCGCGUAGGUGGUUCGUUAAGUUAGGAGUGAAAGCCCCGGGCUCAACCUGGGAAUUGCUUCUAAAACUGGCGAGCUAGAGUAUGGUAGAGGGUGGUGGAAUUUCCUGUGUAGCGGUGAAAUGCGUAGAUAUAGGAAGGAACAUCAGUGGCGAAGGCGACCACCUGGACUGAUACUGACACUGAGGUGCGAAAGCGUGGGGAGCAAACAGGAUUAGAUACCCCUGUAGUCCCU